rnacentral:rRNA from 1 species
AUACAUGCAAGUCGAGCGAACGGACGAGAAGCUUGCUUCUCUGAUGUUAGCGGCGGACGGGUGAGUAACACGUGGAUAACCUACCUAUAAGACUGGGAUAACUUCGGGAAACCGGAGCUAAUACCGGAUAAUAUUUUGAACCGCAUGGUUCAAAAGUGAAAGACGGUCUUGCUGUCACUUAUAGAUGGAUCCGCGCUGCAUUAGCUAGUUGGUAAGGUAACGGCUUACCAAGGCAACGAUGCAUAGCCGACCUGAGAGGGUGAUCGGCCACACUGGAACUGAGACACGGUCCAGACUCCUACGGGAGGCAGCAGUAGGGAAUCUUCCGCAAUGGGCGAAAGCCUGACGGAGCAACGCCGCGUGAGUGAUGAAGGUCUUCGGAUCGUAAAACUCUGUUAUUAGGGAAGAACAUAUGUGUAAGUAACUGUGCACAUCUUGACGGUACCUAAUCAGAAAGCCACGGCUAACUACGUGCCAGCAGCCGCGGUAAUACGUAGGUGGCAAGCGUUAUCCGGAAUUAUUGGGCGUAAAGCGCGCGUAGGCGGUUUUUUAAGUCUGAUGUGAAAGCCCACGGCUCAACCGUGGAGGGUCAUUGGAAACUGGAAAACUUGAGUGCAGAAGAGGAAAGUGGAAUUCCAUGUGUAGCGGUGAAAUGCGCAGAGAUAUGGAGGAACACCAGUGGCGAAGGCGACUUUCUGGUCUGUAACUGACGCUGAUGUGCGAAAGCGUGGGGAUCAAACAGGAUUAGAUACCCUGGUAGUCCACGCCGUAAACGAUGAGUGCUAAGUGUUAGGGGGUUUCCGCCCCUUAGUGCUGCAGCUAACGCAUUAAGCACUCCGCCUGGGGAGUACGACCGCAAGGUUGAAACUCAAAGGAAUUGACGGGGACCCGCACAAGCGGUGGAGCAUGUGGUUUAAUUCGAAGCAACGCGAAGAACCUUACCAAAUCUUGACAUCCUUUGACAACUCUAGAGAUAGAGCUUUCCCCUUCGGGGGACAAAGUGACAGGUGGUGCAUGGUUGUCGUCAGCUCGUGUCGUGAGAUGUUGGGUUAAGUCCCGCAACGAGCGCAACCCUUAAGCUUAGUUGCCAUCAUUAAGUUGGGCACUCUAAGUUGACUGCCGGUGACAAACCGGAGGAAGGUGGGGAUGACGUCAAAUCAUCAUGCCCCUUAUGAUUUGGGCUACACACGUGCUACAAUGGACAAUACAAAGGGCAGCGAAACCGCGAGGUCAAGCAAAUCCCAUAAAGUUGUUCUCAGUUCGGAUUGUAGUCUGCAACUCGACUACAUGAAGCUGGAAUCGCUAGUAAUCGUAGAUCAGCAUGCUACGGUGAAUACGUUCCCGGGUCUUGUACACACCGCCCGUCACACCACGAGAGUUUGUAACACCCGAAGCCGGUGGAGUAACC